UUGGGAGCUCACUGACUUAGGAUUCCAUGAGAACUCCGAAGUUAAGAGAGUUGGGGCUAGAGCAAUCCUAGGAUGGGUGACCUAAUGAGAAGUUGCUCGUGAGUUCCUAGA
rnacentral:rRNA from 1 species